CAAAGCCGCUGGACCCCCCCAGCAGACCAGGGACACCCGAGCAAAGCCUCCCAGGAGGUGGCUUUGCUCUGGUGUCCCUGGUCUGCUGGGGGGGGGUCCAGCGGCUUUG
rnacentral:pre_miRNA from 1 species